AGGAGCCGCCGUCUUCGAUCCACUUCUGCUGAAUGGACUGAAAGCCCCGCACCGAGGGCAGGAUGAGAAGUCUAAAGGCGAGGGCGAGGAGAGGCAGAGUGCUAAUCCCCAGCCUCCCCGGGGAAUCGGUUUGGGAAAAAAGGUUCUUCCCAGAAACUCUAAAAAAUAAAAUAAGAGAUGAUAGCACUUAAAUAUUGAAGAAACCAAAUUCUGCAGUAUCUGAAGAACCUUUGAUGUGGAAUCCGGAGACAGAGAUGCUAUGAGAUGUCGCAAAAUAUCCUACCUCACGGAACGGAGCCUCACUUUUCCCAAACAGAAAAUGUAGAUAUGAAUAUUAAAUUCUCUUACACCUGGGUCUUUAAGUCUAAAACGAAGUAAGAUGAAAACAAGAUGUUAUUUAAAUGUGACCCUACAUAAAUAAAUGUAAAUAAAAUGGCUAUGCCCCCCCCCCUCCCCAGCUUUGAUUCUUGACAGAAAAGUAGCCCAGCAGGGGGCAGAGUGGACAGUCUUGGUGGUGGUGGUGGUGGUAAUAUUCAUGCACACACACCUCCAGUUAUUCAAACACCAGUCAAUGCACUGCUGUGAAAUGAUUUUGCAGGUGUAAUUAAAGUCCCAAGUGAGUCUGAGACUUUAAGAUAAAAGCCAUCUGUGGACUUUCAAGAUAAAAUCAUCAGGGGAACUUUUACAAGGGAGUGGUCUCUAUGUGGAGACCAGGAUGUUAAGUCUGAGAGGAAUCUGACUUGAGGGAGAUUCCCUAUUGCUGCAUUUGAGAACAGAAAAACAGAAGGGGCCACAUGACAAGAAAUGCAGGUGGAAUGUAGGUGCUGCAAGGAGCCGCUAACAGCCAGCAAUGCAAGAGGGACCUCCAUCCUACAACCAUAAGAACUGAGUCUUGUUACAACCAUGAGGGAGUGAAAGAGGACCCUGAGCUCCUGAUGAGAAGACAGCUUGAUUGACAUCUUGACUUCAACCUUAUAUGACCUUGACAGAGGGUCCAGCCAUGCUGUGCCCAGACUUAUUCCCAGAACUGUGAGAUAACAAAUAAGUGUAGUUUUAAGGCUCUAAGUUUGUGAUAAUUUGUUAGACAACCUGAUAAAACUAAUGAAUUAUUCAACUACCAUUUUAAAAAGUGUUCAUUGCCCUGGCUGCUAUCUCGCAGUGGUUAGACUCAUGCACCAAAGUGUCAGGGGUCAGGGGUUGGAUUCCUGGUCAAGGGCAUAUACCUGGGUUGCAGCUUUAAUCCCAGCCCCACUUGGAUCAACCAAUCGACGUGUCUCUCUCUCACAUUGCUGUUUUUCUUUCUUUCUCUCUCCCUCCCUCCCUCUAAAAAAAACAAUGGGAAAAAUAUCCUCGGGUGAAGAUUAACAAAACAAACAAACAAAAAAUGUCCAUUAAAAUACCAGAAAUAUUUUACCACUCUCAGAGCCUGACUUUAGAAGAGUCAUUUUUAGUGAAACUGGGUUAGUGCCGUUCAAAUGUAUACUUGGAGACAUAAAAAGUUGUUAUAAAUUGCUUAAAGCAAGCACACUGAUGACAGUUAAAAUAGUCUUCUAAGCAUGGAAAACUCUCUUCCAUAAAAGAUACAUAUAUUUAAAGUGUAUCUUAAUAUGAUUGAAAUAUAAAUCCUCCUGACCAUAGGUUCUAGGGAGGAUUAGAACCAUUCAUGAGUUUAAAUUACUACAGAAUAGAAAUGGUACUGUAGUUUACCUGGUGUGGUGAACUAGCUGUGUGACCUUGGGCAAAGUAGGUCAUCUGCUGAGCCUGAGGUUUCUCAUCUGCAAAAUAGCAAUUCUUUUGUCAUAUUAUGUGGUUUUGAUAACGUGUUUGGCUCUGGGAAUACAUUUAAAUAGUCUUGGAAUUUUAUUCAUUAAUUGGAUAUUUCCACAGUCACCCAUGGAAAUGAAGUGUCCCUAUAUCCCACUGUCUUGCAGAUUCAGGAAAUAAUCAAAUAUUUGAGAAGCGGGGUGGGGAAGGAACACAAAUCCUCUUCUGAGUUCAGCUUUUUAUUUGAUUUGACUUGAGUUUGGGGGUUGAUUUUUAAUGUGAGAGAAACUGGACUCAUCUAUUUGGAACAUCUUUUUAUAAAUUAAUAUAAAAUUUUGAAAAUAGAUACAAGGAAUUCAAAGAACACAAGAGGAUUUACGAUGCCAGCAUCCCUUUCAGGCACCAGCAGUCUGCAGAGAGCAAAGAGGCGGCAGAAAGACAGAGGAUAUUGAACUAAGAAGACACAGUACCCUCCACCCUUCAUUCAAGACUUCAUCUAAUAAUGGGAGGUCAUUUUACAAUGCACCAGCAAGCAGACAUUACUCAGACUGUGGCUAAAAUCAUCAGUAAGAAACUCUGCCAGGAAUGCCUUCGUGUAACAUGAGGUGGUGUUGGAGUGAGUGUGUGUGUGUGUGUGUGUGUGUGUGUGUGUGUGUGUUUCUGUCACAGUACUUUCCUUCUAAAUCAUUUUCUCUAGUUGGGGAAUGCACUUAAUAAAAACAAGCUCUUCCUUUAAAUAAGUCUCCAUUCUAAACAUUUGGAUAUUUUAAUUGUAAGAACAGAAAUGGAGUGAUAUUAAGAACAAAUGAGACUGAGUCUUAUGCUAUGUGAAAUAAUCCAGUCAGACAAAGUACCAUAUUAUUUCACUUAUAUGUGGGGUCUAAUAAACAAAAUAAACUAACAAAAAAAAAUGGAAACAA